CUGGGAAGAACCUGGUCGUGUGGUGAGCAUCAACCAGGGAAGAAUGGGAGAAACUCGAGAGUGGGCAGUCAACCCAACACUAAACUAUCGGGGAUAUGGAGGGACAUUAAUAUUGUACACAGCCAUUGACAUAGUCAAUACCACUUCGAUACAAGAGGAGAACAGAACUGGACAGAAGGGGGAACUUGUGGUUUAAGGCUGAUUGAGCUGCCAAAAUGGGAUGUUGGACUGUAAAUAUGUCUUUAAAUUUCGAUGUCACUUAUUGUGAAGGUAGUCUGCCUAUGCUUGAAUAUAUCACUUAAUUUGUUGUACAUUACUAUAAUCACUCAACACAAUAA